UAUGUUUCGCAUAUUUAUAAACUUAAGCAUGUAACCUCUUGUUGCAUUUAGUAAGAAGAACAUGCCUCUGUUCCUUAGUAAAAGCGUCCAGAUUUCCUAAAGACUCAGGAUUUGCGUUUCUCCUCUAGUCCAGUUAAGUUCUUCAACUGGUUUUGACUCAAAACUGAGUCUCACCUCAGUUAUAUCAGCCGCCCACAAGAGCUGGUCGACUUCAGUCAUGAAUGUGCCAAGGUGCUCUGGAGUUUGCGCUAUGAUGAGACUUCUGGCUCUGUUUAUACACGUUAUGUCAACGACAGCAAAGAGACACGUUGUAUACUGGAACUCUACAAAUACACGGAUUGCGGUUCCGUUCCCUGUGCGUAAUUCAGCGCACGGCGCUCUUCAGGAUCUCAGCCCAGUGAAUGUGAAGUGACUAAGCCCAAAAACGCUCCCAGAUUUGUGUUGCUUCAUGUCUGCAGCCUAAAACAUACCUGCACUUAUUAAAGGGUUUAAAUGUGGUAACGUGUCCUCCCAUGCCUCACUGUUUCCACCAGUCAAACUUUGAUCUAUUUAUCCUUAAACUCA
rnacentral:lncRNA from 1 species